AAAUUGAAGAGUUUGAUCAUGGCUCAGAUUGAACGCUGGCGGCAGGCCUAACACAUGCAAGUCGAACGGUAACAGGAAACAGCUUGCUGUUUCGCUGACGAGUGGCGGACGGGUGAGUAAUGUCUGGGAAACUGCCUGAUGGAGGGGGAUAACUACUGGAAACGGUAGCUAAUACCGCAUAACGUCGCAAGACCAAAGAGGGGGACCUUCGGGCCUCUUGCCAUCGGAUGUGCCCAGAUGGGAUUAGCUUGUUGGUGGGGUAACGGCUCACCAAGGCGACGAUCCCUAGCUGGUCUGAGAGGAUGACCAGCCACACUGGAACUGAGACACGGUCCAGACUCCUACGGGAGGCAGCAGUGGGGAAUAUUGCACAAUGGGCGCAAGCCUGAUGCAGCCAUGCCGCGUGUAUGAAGAAGGCCUUCGGGUUGUAAAGUACUUUCAGCGGGGAGGAAGGGAGUAAAGUUAAUACCUUUGCUCAUUGACGUUACCCGCAGAAGAAGCACCGGCUAACUCCGUGCCAGCAGCCGCGGUAAUACGGAGGGUGCAAGCGUUAAUCGGAAUUACUGGGCGUAAAGCGCACGCAGGCGGUUUGUUAAGUCAGAUGUGAAAUCCCCGGGCUCAACCUGGGAACUGCAUCUGAUACUGGCAAGCUUGAGUCUCGUAGAGGGGGGUAGAAUUCCAGGUGUAGCGGUGAAAUGCGUAGAGAUCUGGAGGAAUACCGGUGGCGAAGGCGGCCCCCUGGACGAAGACUGACGCUCAGGUGCGAAAGCGUGGGGAGCAAACAGGAUUAGAUACCCUGGUAGUCCACGCCGUAAACGAUGUCGACUUGGAGGUUGUGCCCUUGAGGCGUGGCUUCCGGAGCUAACGCGUUAAGUCGACCGCCUGGGGAGUACGGCCGCAAGGUUAAAACUCAAAUGAAUUGACGGGGGCCCGCACAAGCGGUGGAGCAUGUGGUUUAAUUCGAUGCAACGCGAAGAACCUUACCUGGUCUUGACAUCCACAGAACUUUCCAGAGAUGGAUUGGUGCCUUCGGGAACUGUGAGACAGGUGCUGCAUGGCUGUCGUCAGCUCGUGUUGUGAAAUGUUGGGUUAAGUCCCGCAACGAGCGCAACCCUUAUCCUUUGUUGCCAGCGGUCCGGCCGGGAACUCAAAGGAGACUGCCAGUGAUAAACUGGAGGAAGGUGGGGAUGACGUCAAGUCAUCAUGGCCCUUACGACCAGGGCUACACACGUGCUACAAUGGCGCAUACAAAGAGAAGCGACCUCGCGAGAGCAAGCGGACCUCAUAAAGUGCGUCGUAGUCCGGAUUGGAGUCUGCAACUCGACUCCAUGAAGUCGGAAUCGCUAGUAAUCGUGGAUCAGAAUGCCACGGUGAAUACGUUCCCGGGCCUUGUACACACCGCCCGUCACACCAUGGGAGUGGGUUGCAAAAGAAGUAGGUAGCUUAACCUUCGGGAGGGCGCUUACCACUUUGUGAUUCAUGACUGGGGUGAAGUCGUAACAAGGUAACCGUAGGGGAACCUGCGGUUGGAUCACCUCCUUA
rnacentral:rRNA from 10 species